AGAGUUUGAUCAUGGCUCAGAUUGAACGCUGGCGGCAGGCUUAACACAUGCAAGUCGAGCGGUAACAGGAGAAGCUUGCUUCUCGCUGACGAGCGGCGGACGGGUGAGUAAUACUUAGGAAUCUGCCCAGUAGUGGGGGAUAGCACGGGGAAACUCGUAUUAAUACCGCAUACACCCUACGGGGAAAAGGGGGCGCUUGCGCUCUCGCUAUUGGAUGAGCCUAAGUCGGAUUAGCUAGUUGGUGGGGUAAAGGCCUACCAAGGCGACGAUCUGUAGCUGGUCUGAGAGGAUGAUCAGCCACACCGGGACUGAGACACGGCCCGGACUCCUACGGGAGGCAGCAGUGGGGAAUAUUGGACAAUGGGGGCAACCCUGAUCCAGCCAUGCCGCGUGUGUGAAGAAGGCCUUUUGGUUGUAAAGCACUUUAAGCAGUGAAGAAGACUCUAUGGUUAAUACCCAUAGACGAUGACAUUAGCUGCAGAAUAAGCACCGGCUAACUCUGUGCCAGCAGCCGCGGUAAUACAGAGGGUGCAAGCGUUAAUCGGAUUUACUGGGCGUAAAGCGCGCGUAGGUGGCCAAUUAAGUCAAAUGUGAAAUCCCCGAGCUUAACUUGGGAAUUGCAUUCGAUACUGGUUGGCUAGAGUAUGGGAGAGGAUGGUAGAAUUCCAGGUGUAGCGGCGAAAUGCGUAGAGAUCUGGAGGAAUACCGAUGGCGAAGGCAGCCAUCUGGCCUAAUACUGACACUGAGGUGCGAAAGCAUGGGGAGCAAACAGGAUUAGAUACCCUGGUAGUCCAUGCCGUAAACGAUGUCUACUAGCCGUUGGGGCCUUUGAGGCUUUAGUGGCGCAGCUAACGCGAUAAGUAGACCGCCUGGGGAGUACGGUCGCAAGACUAAAACUCAAAUGAAUUGACGGGGGCCCGCACAAGCGGUGGAGCAUGUGGUUUAAUUCGAUGCAACGCGAAGAACCUUACCUGGUCUUGACAUAGUAAGAACUUUCCAGAGAUGGAUUGGUGCCUUCGGGAACUUACAUACAGGUGCUGCAUGGCUGUCGUCAGCUCGUGUCGUGAGAUGUUGGGUUAAGUCCCGCAACGAGCGCAACCCUUUUCCUUAUUUGCCAGCGGGUUAAGCCGGGAACUUUAAGGAUACUGCCAGUGACAAACUGGAGGAAGGCGGGGACGAC
rnacentral:rRNA from 1 species